UGAGGCUGCUGCCAGUGGUCAAAGCCUCCAACAAAGCUCUACUGAGUGGCUGUAACCUCUCAGAGAGAAGCAGUGAUGCUCUGUCCUCAGUUCUCAACUCCCAGUCCUCUAGUCUGAAAGAGCUGGACCUGAGUAACAAUGACCUGCGGGAUUCAGGGGUGAAGCUUCUGUCUGCUGCACUGCAGAGUCCACAUUGUACACUGGAAACUCUCAGAUUGAAGGACUGUGAUUUGUCAGAGAUCAGCUGUGAUUAUCUGGCAGCAGCACUGAAGUCCAACCCCUCGUAUCCCAGAGUGCUGGACCUGAGUGUAGACUGCAACAACCUGCAGGACUCAGGAGUGAAGCAGCUGUGUGUUCUUCUGGAGAAUCCACGAUGUCGAUUUGAAACUCUGAGG